rnacentral:rRNA from 1 species
UACGGAGGAUGCAAGCGUUAUCCGGAUUCAUUGGGUUUAAAGGGUGCGUAGGCGGGCUAUUAAGUCAGUGGUGAAAUCCUGCAGCUUAACUGCAGAACUGCCGUUGAUACUGAUAGUCUUGAGUUUGGUUAAGGUAGGCGGAAUGUGUAAUGUAGCGGUGAAAUGCUUAGAUAUUACACAGAACACCGAUUGCGAAGGCAGCUUACUGAGCCGACACUGACGCUGAGGCACGAAAGCGUGGGGAUCAAACAGGAUUA